rnacentral:rRNA from 1 species
UUAAGUUUGAUCAUGGCUCAGGAUGAACGCUAGCGGCAGGCUUAACACAUGCAAGUCGAGGGCAGCAUGAGACGGAGAUUCGUCGAAGUCUUGAUGGCGACCGGCGCAAGGGUGCGUAAGCGUGAGCAACUUGCCCGUUUCAGGGGGAUAACCGGUGGAAACGCCGACUAAUACCCCAUGUAUUGAUUUAAGGCAUCUUUUAUCAAUUAAAGAAUUUCGGAAACGGAUAGGCUCGCGUGCAUUAGCUAGAUGGCGGGGUAACGGCCCACCAUGGCGACGAUGUCUAGGGGUUCUGAGAGAAGGUCCCCCACACUGGAACUGAGACACGGUCCAGACUCCUACGGGAGGCAGCAGUGAGGAUAUUGGUCAAUGGUCGAGAGACUGAACCAGCCAUGCCGCGUGAAGGUCACGGCCCUAUGGUCUUAAACUUCUUUUGUAAGGGAGCAAUAAGUCUCACGUGUGGGAUGAUGAGAGUACCUACGAAUAAGCAUCGGCUAACUCCGUGCCAGCAGCCGCGGUAAUACGGGGGAUGCAAGCGUAUCCGGAUUUAUUGGGUUUAAAGGGUGCGUAGGCGGUCUGGUAAGUCAGCGGUGAAAUUCGGGGCUCAACCUCUGCCGUGCCGUUGAUACUGCUGGACUAGAAUGCGGAUGCCGUGGG